rnacentral:rRNA from 1 species
UACGUAGGGAGCAAGCGUUGUCCGGAAUCAUUGGGCGUAAAGCGCGCGUAGGUGGCUUCGUAAGUCCGUUGUGAAAGUCAAAGGCUCAACCUUUGAAAGCCGAUGGAUACUGUGGAGCUAGAGUACGGAAGAGGCGAGUGGAAUUCCUGGUGUAGCGGUGGAAUGCGCAGAUAUCAGGAGGAACACCAAUAGCGAAGGCAGCUCGCUGGACGUUACUGACACUGGAGGCGCGAAAGCGUGGGAGCGAACAGG